CCUGCCCCUAAAGGCAUUGCAGGUGUGACUGUUAUUUCACAUGUGUGUCAGUAGAUGGCAGAGGAGAGAGUGGCUAUGUCUAUGCUCAGUAUUCUGAUCUAUGAACUUCUAAAUGUUUCUUAGCCUAACACU